GACGAACGCUGGCGGCGUGCUUAACACAUGCAAGUCGAACGAUGAAGCCUUCGGGUGGAUUAGUGGCGAACGGGUGAGUAACACGUGGGUGAUCUGCCCUGCACUUUGGGAUAAGCCUGGGAAACUGGGUCUAAUACCGAAUAUGAUCACGAACUUCAUGGUUUGUGGUGGAAAGCUUUUGCGGUGUGGGAGGGGCCCGCGGCCUAUCAGCUUGUUGGUGGGGUAAUGGCCUACCAAGGCGACGACGGGUAGCCGGCCUGAGAGGGUGACCGGCCACCCUGGGACUGAGAUACGGCCCGGACUCCUACGGGAGGCAGCAGUGGGGAAUAUUGCACAAUGGGCGCAAGCCUGAUGCAGCAACGCCGCGUGAGUGAAGAAGUAUUUCGGUAUGUAAGCUCUAUCGGCAGGGAAGAAAGGCCCGAAAGGGAGAUGACGGUACCUGACUAAGAAGCCCCGGCUAACUACGUGCCAGCAGCCGCCGUAAGAC
rnacentral:rRNA from 1 species